UACGGUGGGGGCAAGCGUUGUUCGGAAUUACUGGGCGUAAAGGGCUCGUAGGCGGCCAACUAAGUCAGACGUGAAAUCCCUCGGCUUAACCGGGGAACUGCGUCUGAUACUGGAUGGCUUGAGUUUGGGAGAGGGAUGCGGAAUUCCAGGUGUAGCGGUGAAAUGCGUAGAUAUCUGGAGGAACACCGGUGGCGAAGGCGGCAUCCUGGACCAACACUGACGCUGAGGAGCGAAAGCCAGGGGAGCAAACGGG
rnacentral:rRNA from 1 species